AUCUCGGCUCUCGCAUCGAUGAAGAACGUAGCGAAAUGCGAUACCUGGUGUGAAUUGCAGAAUCCCGUGAACCAUCGAGUCUUUGAACGCAAGUUGCGCCCGAGGCCAUCCGGCCGAGGGCACGCCUGCCUGGGCGUCACGCCAAAAGACGCUCCGCCGGCCCCC
rnacentral:rRNA from 1 species